rnacentral:lncRNA from 1 species
AUUGAUUUCAUUUCCUGUACUUGCACAUUUAAGAGACUCAUAAGUUCCUCAAAAAAUCUCUUCUCUGCAUGGACAAAGAUGUAUCAGCUACGAAGGUUGUUACCCAGUAAUCAUCCAUCAAAAGACCCAAAAUAAAAGAAAAGGGACAAAGAUGUAUCAGCUACGAAGGUUGUUACGCAGUAAUCAUCCAUUAAAAGACCCAAAAUAAAAGAAAAGGAAAAGAAUGAAACAUAAAAAUAAAGAAAAGCUAAAACUUAUGCUGGAUAUCCAUCCAAGUGGCAAACUGACUAAUG